CAUGUCUUUAUAAUAAUAUAUUAAGUCUAAUCUGCUCACUGAAUUUUAAAGAGCCGCAGUAUAUUGACUGUGCAAAGGUAGCAUAAUCAUUAGUUUUUUAAUUGGAAACUGGAAUGAAAGAUUGAACGAUAAAUUUUCUUUCUUAAAAUUAGAGAUUGAAUUUAAAUUUUAAGUUAAAAUUCUUAAAUGGAUUUAAAAGACGAGAAGACCCUAUAGAUUUUUAUUAAUUUAAAUUAUUAAAUAUAUGGUUAUUAGUUAAAUUAAUUUAAUUGGGGUGAUUAUGUAAUAAAAAUAACUUAAUAAAAUAAAACCAUAAAUAAUUGAAUUUUUUGAUCCAAAUUUUUUGGUUGGUAGACUAAAUUACCUUAGGGAUAACAGCGUUAUAUUAUUUAAGAGCUCGUAUCUAUAAUAAUAAUUGCGACCUCGAUGUUGAAUUAAGAAUUAUACAGGAGUAGAAGCUUGUAGAAUUAGUCUGUUCGACUAGUGAAAUCUUAC
rnacentral:rRNA from 1 species